rnacentral:rRNA from 1 species
UGGGGAAUAUUGCACAAUGGGCGCAAGCCUGAUGCAGCCAUGCCGCGUGUGUGAAGAAGGCCUUCGGGUUGUAAAGCACUUUCAGCGAGGAGGAAGGUGGUGAACUUAAUACGUUCAUCAAUUGACGUUACUCGCAGAAGAAGCACCGGCUAACUCCGUGCCAGCAGCCGCGGUAAUACGGAGGGUGCAAGCGUUAAUCGGAAUUACUGGGCGUAAAGCGCACGCAGGCGGUUUGUUAAGUCAGAUGUGAAAUCCCCGGGCUCAACCUGGGAACUGCAUUUGAGACUGGCAAGCUAGAGUCUCGUAGAGGGGGGUAGAAUUCCAGGUGUAGCGGUGAAAUGCGUAGAGAUCUGGAGGAAUACCGGUGGCGAAGGCGGCCCCCUGGACGAAGACUGACGCUCAGGUGCGAAAGCGUGGGGCAGCAAACAGGAUUAGAUACCCUGGUAGUCCAGCGCUGUAAAACGAUGUCGAUUUUGGAGGUUGUGCCCUUGAGGCGUGGCUUCCGGAGCUAACGCGUUAAAUCGACCGCCUGGGGAGUACGGCCGCAAGGUUAAAACUCAAAUGAAUUGACGGGGUC